rnacentral:rRNA from 1 species
GUGCCAGCAGCCGCGGUAAUACAGGGGGGGCAAGCGUUGUUCGGAAUUACUGGGCGUAAAGGGUUCGUAGGUGGCCAACUAAGUCAGAUGUGAAAUCCCUCAGCUUAACUGGGGAACUGCUUCUGAUACUGGUUGGCUUGAGUGCAGGAGAGGAAUGCGGAAUUCCAGGUGUAGCGGUGAAAUGCGUAGAUAUCUGGAGGAACACCGGUGGCGAAGGCGGCAUUCUGGACUGUAACUGACACUGAGGAACGAAAGCCAGGGGAGCAAACGGGAUUAGAUACCCCCGUAGUCC